AUCUAGCUGACGAGUCCCGAAUAGGACGAAACGCAUGUCCUAGAU
rfam:Schistosoma curassoni strain Dakar, Senegal genome assembly, scaffold: SCTD_scaffold0002817